rnacentral:rRNA from 1 species
UACGUAGGGUGCAAGCGUUGUCCGGAAUUAUUGGGCGUAAAGAGCUCGUAGGCGGUCUGUCGCGUCGGCUGUGAAAACCCGGGGCUCAACCCCGGGCCUGCAGUCGAUACGGGCAGACUAGAGUGCGGUAGGGGAGACUGGAAUUCCUGGUGUAGCGGUGAAAUGCGCAGAUAUCAGGAGGAACACCGGUGGCGAAGGCGGAUCUCUGGAACGCAACUGACGCUGAGACGCGAAAGCGUGGGGAGCAAACAGG